ensembl:snRNA U6 U6 spliceosomal RNA
GCACUCACUUUGGCAGCACAUAUACUAAAACUGGAAGCAUACAGAGAUUAGCAUGGCCCCUGUUUAAGGUUGGCAAACAAAUUGGUGAGAUGUUCUAUAUUUCA